rnacentral:tRNA from 1 species
GCCCGAGUGGUGGAAUGGCAGACACGCAGGACUUAAAAUCCUGUGACGCAAGUCGUGAGGGUUCGACUCCCUCCUUGGGCACAA